CCAAAUUAAUUAUGUACCUUGUUAAAACGUAAAGGAGAAGGCUAUACAGGGAAGAAAUCGAAAACGUUUUCACCUGAUGAAAUAAAUAGGUUUUUAAGCCAAGCGCCUGAUUAACUAUAUUUAGCGAUAAAGACUGCGCUAAUAUUCGGAACCAUGGGCGCAUGCCACCGUCUAGAAUUAUACGCUUUGUUAUAUACCGACUUACAGAUAAAUGAAACUAACUGUGGUCAAUGUUAAUAAUACAAAAACCAAGACAAACCGCACAUUUACUAUUACGGGCAAAUAUUUAGAGAUUUGUAAAAAAUAUAUAGCAUUGCGUCCGGAUCCAUGCAGCAAUCCGAGUUUUUUUUACAAUACAGAUCUGGAAUUUGGGUAAAACAAUUGCUAACUAUUUACAACUUCAUAACCCGGAGGAGACAUGACAAGCUUAAAACGGCACGGCGGAUGGUCUACAUCUGUUGCUGAGGGCUACAUUAAUGACUCUAUAGCCAACAAAAUCCACGUGUCGAAUGUAAUUUCGAAUUCCAUAGAAAAUAAGAAUAGUGAAGUGGUAAAUAUAAAUAUUCCGCCGAGUACAUCGGGAUCGGGACCUUCCAACAUAAUAUUCAAGUGAAUUUUAAUAAUUGCACUAUACAAAAUGUAAAUUACUACUAAAAUAAAUAAUUCUUUCAUUAA